UUCCUGGUGGCUCAGAUGGUAAAGAAUCUGCCUGCAAUGCAGGAAACCAGGGUUCGAUCUCUGGUUCAGGAAG
rfam:Ovis aries breed Texel chromosome 14, whole genome shotgun sequence.